rnacentral:rRNA from 1 species
GACGAACGCUGGCGGCGUGCCUAAUACAUGCAAGUAGAACGCUGAAGGAGGAGCUUGCUUCUCCGGAUGAGCUGCGAACGGGUGAGUAACGCGUAGGUAACCUGCCUGGUAGCGGGGGAUAACUAUUGGAAACGAUAGCUAAUACCGCAUAACAGUAGAUGUUGCAUGACAUUUGCUUAAAAGGUGCAAUUGCAUCACUACCAGAUGGACCUGCGUUGUAUUAGCUAGUUGGUGAGGUAACGGCUCACCAAGGCGACGAUACAUAGCCGACCUGAGAGGGUGAUCGGCCACACUGGGACUGAGACACGGCCCAGACUCCUACGGGAGGCAGCAGUAGGGAAUCUUCGGCAAUGGACGGAAGUCUGACCGAGCAACGCCGCGUGAGUGAAGAAGGUUUUCGGAUCGUAAAGCUCUGUUGUAAGAGAAGAACGAGUGUGAGAGUGGAAAGUUCACACUGUGACGGUAUCUUACCAGAAAGGGACGGCUAACUACGUG